rnacentral:tRNA from 1 species
GGACGUUUAGCUGAGACAGAUUAGCGUCGGUCUGAAGAGCCGAAAAGGUUGGUGCGAUACCAACAGCGUCCGCCA